rnacentral:rRNA from 1 species
GCAAGUCGUACGAGAAAGUUUUUCUUCGGAGAAACGAGUAGAGUGGCGCACGGGUGAGUAACGCGUAGGUAAUCUACCCCUAUAUUUGGGAUAACCUUGCGAAAGUGGGGCUAAUACCGAAUAUCCUUUAAUUGUAGCGAUACAUUUAGAGGAAAGGAGGCCUCUUAUUAAAGCUUCCGUAUAGGGAUGAGCCUGCGUACCAUUAGCUAGUUGGUGGGGUAAAGGCCUACCAAGGCAACGAUGGUUAGCGGGUCUGAGAGGAUGAUC